CUGGGCUCCACCUCGAGGGUGAUGGUCUUGCCCGUCAGGGUCUUCACGAAGAUCUGCAUUGUCUAAUCCAGAUGACAGCUGU